AUCAAAGUGUAGCAUCUUACCCCAAGUCUGCCUUUGUGUACUGGCCCUAUAUACAUAUAUAUAUAUAUAUAUGUAUAUAUAUAUAUGUAUGUAUGUAUAUAUAUGUGUAUAUAUAUAUAUAUAUAUAUUUUUUGGUCUCUGUUGCCUUUCACAUGGACAUUUAAAACUGUGUGUCUAUUCCUUGAAUUCUUUUAUUCUUCUGCCUUUUUUUUUUUUUUUUUAAUAUUGACACCCUAGACUUUCCAAGUGACUUCCAGCAACCCAGCUUCCCUGGUGCCUCAGCAGCAAGGAACCCGACUGCCAGUGCAGGAGAAGAGUUCAGUCAGUGGGUGCGGAAGAUCCCCGGGAGUAGGAAGUGGCUCCCCAUCCCAGUAUUCCUUCAUGGGGGAUCCCAUGGACAGAGGAGCCUGGCAGGCUACAGUCCAUGGAGUUGCAGAGUCUCAGACACGGCUGAGUAUGAAGGCUCCAGCAACCUCAGAGCAUCUGUCUCUACUGAUCGUGGGCUAGCACGGCUCUUACGGACUCUUCCCCCAUGGCCCCACUUGAGUUUGGUCUGAGGAAACAACAAACCAUUUCCACUGCAAAGCAUCUUCGACUGAGAAACUUUCAACUGCGCUGAAAAACCGAAGACAAAUUUUCCUUCCCUCUCAUUUGAAAGGACUUAAAAAAGAAAUAAAUCGUCAGAGGUUUAAAGUUAAUACUCAGGAUGAAUGAUGAUAAUUCAGAUGGCAAGACAGAAGAUGAACUGCAAUCCUUGUGUAUCUGUGAUAAAAAUGGAAACACAUAUGCAUGCAACCGAAAACCACCACCUACCCAAAACGCUGCAACCAAUAAUGUGAGUUGGCAUUGCGCCGACCCAAAUGGCGUGGUGGGUGACUAUGAAACUGGCUCUGAUGUGGACAUUGGUGAAAACAUUUCUUUAAACCCUCAGUGUGUUGAAGUACACGAUCACCAAAAGUCUUCAAGUAAUUUCAUCAGUGAGGAGGCAUUAGAGGUGCACACGGAUGCCACGUGUCCAUCUUUUGCACAGGUUGUAAAUACAGCGGAACCCAAAUAUUUGCAUAGCAGUUGUCAUUCCCUAGGAUCGUUGAACCAGAGUGUUGAGACAUCUCUAACUUGUGUAUGGAAAACUAACAAUGAUGAUUUGAACUGUACAGACAAUCCUACUGCCUUACUGCUCAACCAGACUUUUGACAUAAAAGUGGAUAAUGUUAACUGUACCUUCGUAACACACGAUACCACUGGAAAAAGUCAGUCUUUGCCUACCACUGCAAGCCUGCAGCCAACCAACACGAGAAGCAUAAAUACAUCUUUAUCCUGUUCCAUUCUUCCAUCUUCCCAUUCUGAUAAGAUACAUGUAAGAGAAAUAAGUUGUGAUCGAGAGAGCUUUGAAAAUUCUCAACCUGCAGCAUCACAGGCCCAGGACACAACUUACGCAGUAUUUUCUGACAUGGUGAUGCAAAUUGAUGUUGUUGUUCCAGAUACCGAAAAUCAGUGCCACCAUUCUUUGGGAAAGGUCGCCAGUGAGUACCCAGAUGGAGCACAGCAAAGACGAGGCAGAGAAAAGGAGAUACAAGCUCUAACACAAGUUUCUGAUGGCAUGGAUGCUCCCAGUGGGUCUGUAUCACAAGAGUUCUUUUGUCCAUCUAAAGAUGAACCAAAUAGGGAGACACAUUCAUGGAGCUCAUAUGGGCAAAAGGAAAUGGGCCAAAAUGUAAAAGAAACAGUGUCCAAUUGUCUUAUAGAUGAUGAAUGCCCUUUACUGGUGCCAGCUGUUAAUAAAAGCAAAACCCAAGUGCUGGGCCCAAAACACCAAGUCACUGUGACUAAAGACACACCAACUGCCUUCAAUGAAAAGCAUUUGGGAACCCAAAAUCGUACCAUAGAACUGAUACCAAAUAGCCCGCCAGGACAAAAGGAAGCGUCACUACUUGAGCUGACUUGGAAUGCAGAUGAUAUGGUCAUCAGUACAGAUAACAGAAUUUGCAUGUCCACACCAGUCCUUGAACCCAUGAACACAACCUUUUCUGUCUCACCUGUUGAAGGCGUGGAGAAAUGUAGCAAAGUGCAGACGAGUAAUCGAGAGCCCCGAUGUUUACCAAAUUUGAAGGCAGCACCAAUGAUUGUGUCAAAACUUAACCUAGGAAAAUCUACCACCAAAGCAAAUAGCCCCCUAGGCAGCAAAGUUCGAAAAACCAAAAUUAUAAGUUACCCAAGACCAAACUUCAAGAACAUUAAAGCAAAAGUUGUAUCCAGACCCGUGUUGCAGCCCAAGGACCCUGCUCUAUCAAAGGCUGCGCCCAGACCUCAGUUAACUGGUGCCUCGUCUCCCUCAUCAGUGUCUUCCUCAAGACAGUCAACGGGUUUAAGCAAAACAGCAACAUGUGACUUGAAUGCAGACCCCAAAGCAGAAAUUCCAAUAAACAAGACGCAUAAGCAGCAGUUUAAUAAACUCAUUACGAGCCAGGCUGUGCAUGUUACAACUCAUUCUAAAAAUGCUUCACACAAGAAGCAUCCAAGAACAACAUCUGCCAUGAAAUCAAAUCAGGAAGAUGUUGACAAAGCAAGUUCUUCCAAUCCAGCGUGUGAGACUGGGUCCGUGGCUGCGGUUUUUCAGAUCAAAGAUGAGCUCCCUGUGAAAAUGGAAAGCACAGAAGGCUUGGAAGUGCCCUCUGCUUCCCACGUCGAUAGGAUUAGCCCUGAAAAGAAGGGUGAAGAAGAAAAUGGGACACCAGUGGCAAAACAGGAGCUAAAAAAGGAAAUCCUGAGUGAGACCUCUGCCUUUGGUUCUCUGUUUUUGGAUUCCGCUUCCAAACUUGCAAGCAUCUCAGGUGGGAAACCGGCUACACCCAACUCCUCCAUUCUGAGGAAAACACCUGGUCCGAAAGCCAGAGUGGGGCCUUCUGUUUCCUGUUUGAGGCGGAAUAGCGACAGCAGAAAUCUCACCUCCGAUCGGGCCGUGUCUCCCCAGAGGAUCAGGCGUGUGUCCAGUUCUGCUGGUAAUGCCGCUGUCAUCAAAUAUGAGGAAAAACCUCCAAAACCAGCAUUUCAGAAUGGCUCCUCAGCAUCCUUAUAUUUGAAGCCCUUUGUACCCAGAGGUCAUGCGCACUUUCUGAAAACUCCUCCAAAAGAUCCUUCAAGAAAAAGUCUAUUUACAGCCUUGAAUACAGUUGAGAAGGGCAGACAGAAGAGUCCCCGAAGUCUGUGCAUCCAGACCCAGACAUCCCCAGAUGUGCUGUCCUCUGAGAAAGCACUUGAGUUGGCUCAAUAUAAAAGCAAAUGUACGAAGCAAAGUGGAGUUAUCCUGCAGCUCAAGCAGCUUCUUUCCCUGGGCAACACCAAGUUUGAGGCAUUAACAGUUGUGGCUCAGCACCUGCUGUCUCAGCGAGAGGAAGCACUGAAACAAAACAAAACCCUAUCUCAAGAACUUGUCAACCUCCGGGGAGAGCUAGUCACUGUUUCAACCACCUGUGAGAAGUUAGAAAAAGCCAGGAAUGAGUUGCAAAUAGCUUAUGAAGGAUUUGUCCAGAAGUUAAACCAGCAGCACCAGACUGAUCUAACAGAGCUGGAGAAUCGGCUUAAAGAAUUUUACACUGGGGAAUGUGAAAAGCUUCAGAACAUCUACAUAGAAGAAGCAGAGAAAUACAAAACUCAAUUGCAGGAGCAGUUUGACAACUUAAAUGCUACCCACGAAACCUCUAAGUUGAAAAUCGAAGCAAGCCACUCCGAGAAAAUAGAAUUGCUAAAGAAGUCCUAUGAAAAUUCCCUUUCAGAAAUCAAGAAAAGCCAUGAAAUGGAAAAGAAAUCCCUCGAGGAUCUGCUUUACGAGAAGCAGGAAUCACUAGAGAAACAAAUCAGUGAUCUGAAGAGUGAAAAUGAUGCUUUAAAUGAAAAGUUGAAAUCAGAAGAACAGAAAAGAGUAUCAAGAGAGAAAGCAAAUUUAAAAAACCCUCAGAUCAUGUAUCUGGAGCAAGAGUUAGAAAGCCUGAAAGCCGUGUUAGAGAUCAAGAAUGAGAAGCUGCGCCAACAGGACGUCAAGUUAAUGAAGAUGGAGAAACUGGUGGACAAUAACACAGCGCUGGUAGACAAACUGAAGCGAUUCCAGCAGGAGAAUGAAGAACUAAAAGCUCGGAUGGACAAGCACAUGGCAAUUUCAAGGCAACUUUCCACGGAGCAAGCGGUCCUGCAGGAGUCGCUGGAGAAGGAGUCCAAGGUCAACAAGCGCCUCUCCAUGGAGAACGAGGAGCUGCUCUGGAAGCUCCACAAUGGGAACCUGUGCAGCCCCAAGAGGUCCCCCACGUCCCCCGCCGCCCCCUUCCAGUCGCCUCGGAACUCCGGCUCCUUCCCCAGCCCCAGUGUCUCUUACCCAGAAGACCUUCCUGGGAGCCAGAGAGAGACAGACAGCAUCUCUGCAGGACUGACCCCGCCCGCAACUGCGCACCACCCGCCCUAG
rnacentral:lncRNA from 1 species